rnacentral:lncRNA from 1 species
UGUUGUUUUUGCUUUGUUUUAGGAACACUUUGUUCUCCUCUGACAGUUUAUAGCUAUUGAUAACUGUAUUGUCAUUGUGGUCAGGAGACUGUCAUAGAGGCCGCUGUACCCAGUGCUCCCAACUCUGUGGCUCAGACUUCUUUUCUAAAAUAGUGCUUUUUCUGGACCGCAGUUCUAUUGGAAGGUGUCAGAAACAUUUUAAGAUGCUGCCUGUGACAUUUCUUGGAGCUUUCUGGUAUUGAGCAGUUCCUGACACGUGUUCCUGCUGUGUGAACAGAGAGACUUCUCAGAACCUAGUCCAUCCUGGUAGUGAAGUGAUUUGGGAGGCCUGCGUUUGUCAGGUUGGCCUUCUCUAGCGAAGCUACCAGGAUCCUUCUGCGUUUCUGUACAUACAGCAGACCUGAUGGUCUCUGGUUCCUGCUGGUUCUGGAUCCCCGUUUUCUCUGCAGUUCCUUAUUUCCUUGCCUUUGUCCACACCUUAUGGAGUCUGUAUUAUGCCAGGCUUGAUUUGAAAAUGGUGCUGUAGUCAGGUCUGUAAAGUCCUUUACCACGUCUCACCUCUGCUAGGAUGCCAUCAGUACACCGGCAAUCUCUGCUGCUGUGGGCUGGUCCAGCAGAGCCUGCUGCCCCCCAUGGGGGUCAUACCCAGUGGAAACUCAAGCUCACUGACUUGUGUAUUAAUAACUAGAGAAUUGGUAAGAAAAGUGUGUGUUGUAGACUUGAAUGUCUACAUAAAUAUUCCCCCCAAAGCUUUAUUUUCUUGGGUCAGAGGUCAAAAUUUAUGAAAAUAGGAUGUGUAAAUAAAUGGAUUAAAUAAAAUAUUAUAAUUCACAAGGUGGCAAACUUUAACCAAAUUGGCAAUUUGUUCAUAAUUAACUGUGAAUUUGCUUGUACUUAGUGGACAUUUAUCUUUUCAUUGGGUAUCUUUUUGAGUAAAAACAAUAAACAGUAUAUGUGUUCAAG